AUUGUACGCUGGCGGCAGGCUUAACACAUGCAAGUCGAACGGUAGCAGGAGAAAGCUUGCUUUCUUGCUGACGAGUGGCGGACGGGUGAGUAAUACUUGGGAAUCUGGCUUAUGGAGGGGGAUAACUACGGGAAGCUGUAGCUAAUACCGCGUAGUAUCGGAAGAUGAAAGUGCGGGACCGUAAGGCCGCAUGCCAUAGGAUGAGCCCAAGUGGGAUUAGGUAGUUGGUGGGGUAAAGGCCUACCAAGCCUGCGAUCUCUAGCUGGUCUGAGAGGAUGGCCAGCCACACUGGAACUGAGACACGGUCCAGACUCCUACGGGAGGCAGCAGUGGGGAAUAUUGCGCAAUGGGGGGAACCCUGACGCAGCCAUGCCGCGUGAAUGAAGAAGGCCUUCGGGUUGUAAAGUUCUUUCGGUAUUGAGGAAGGUUGAUGUGUUAAUAGUACAUCAAAUUGACGUAAGUACA
rnacentral:rRNA from 1 species